UACGAAGGGGGCUAGCGUUGUUCGGAUUUACUGGGCGUAAAGCGCACGUAGGCGGAUCGAUCAGUCAGGGGUGAAAUCCCAGAGCUCAACUCUGGAACUGCCUUUGAUACUGUCGAUCUGGAGUAUGGAAGAGGUGAGUGGAAUUCCGAGUGUAGAGGUGAAAUUCGUAGAUAUUCGGAGGAACACCAGUGGCGAAGGCGGCUCUCUGGAACGGUACUGACGCUGAGACGCGAAAGCGUGGGGAGCGAACAGG
rnacentral:rRNA from 1 species